rnacentral:lncRNA from 1 species
NNNNNNNNNNNNNNNNNNNNNNNNNNNNNNNNNNNNNNNNNNNNNNNNNNNNNNNNNGCGCACCCCCGCCCCUGCCCGGGCCGGGAAGGAGCCAUGGCUUCCCGAAGCGCAGGAAUGAAGUGCGGUUUCUGGGGCCCGUGGCCUCUGGCUGCGGAGGCUGCCUGCGGGGAAUCCGGCGUCCCGGAGCGGCCGGGCUAGGGGUUCGCAGCCCGCGUGAGAGCUCUCAGAGCUCUGACACACAGGAACAACGUCUUCAGCAAAUGUAUAUCGGAGCUGCCAUGCAAGAGACUACUACUGCUAGUCACUGGGAUGCAGAAUAUAAAAACUGAAACAAGUUGAAUUAGACUGAAUAAUGAUUAAGGAUAGAUAAAAUGAUAUAUCCAGGAGAAGACAUCAUAGAGACUUGGACUGAUUUCCCAGUUCUGCCUUUUAUUCCCACUGUGAGUCUGGGCAAAUUUGUUUAACUUUCCUGAAUCUCAGUUUUCUUAUCUGUAGACUAGAAGACUGGUAAUAACUAGUUCUUAGGAUUGUUUUUAGGAUUAAUUGAGAGAAUAAAUUGACGACACUGAACAGAAGGCAAGAAACAGUACUGUGAAAUGUUACUAACCUUCCUGCAGUUGAUUGAAUUCCUUGUUAAAAUUGGGAUAUUAGUACUUAGCUCAGGUUUGUUGUAAAGAUGAAAUGAGAAUGGAGUGAGUUCGCUAGCUACCCGGCACACAGAUGCUACGUGUGCAGAAAAGAACCGGAGCAACUGAAAUGCUGGAGGCAAUAUUUCUUUGGAAGAGACAAAUGAAAAUAGUACCUAAAUUGUACCAACACUAGCAACCCAUGAAUUUCAGUAGUCGGUGUUACUCUUGCUGUGCUGAGCUAAAUAUGUGCAUUUCCAAUUGUAUUUUGCCUGUGAUUCAGUCCCCUUUUUUUUUUUUUUUUACACAUAAUCAUGUUCUGCUCAUUCUCAAAGAUUAGCUUGAAUUUUACUGUGAAGCUCUUGUAGAUCAGUUUAGAGAAAUGAUUUGUCCUACUACUAAAAUGCCAUUGUGAUGCUUAGCAUGGACUGAUUCGUAGUGGUUUUGCUCUCCUGAUCUGCCUGGAGAGAUUCUAUUCCUUCGUAAAGUCUCAUUUGGGACUCUUCUGAGAAACCUUUCCUAACUCUCACUAUCAAUACAUUCCUUCUGUAUUUUUGUUGUUGUACAUCUUGUGAAACACUUGCUGCCUUUACCACGUUGUUACAAUUAUUUGCUUACUUUUGUCUGCUUAUAAUGAACUAUGAAUAUCAUAAGAACAGAGUAUUUUCUCUGUAUUCCCAUUUUAUAGCACAUGUCUGGUUCAGUAAGUAAUGAAUUGAGACUUCGAUGCAUUAAUCUUGUGUUGGUAUUUUCUUUUUCCAACACAAAAGGGCAUGAGUGAGAAGUUCACUUUGGUGUCUCUGUGUUUUUUAAAAUAAAACCAACAGGGGUGCGUGGGUGGUUUAGUUCAUUAAGCGACUGACUCUUGAUUUCAGCUCAGGUCACGAUCUCAGGGUUUUGAGAUCAAGCCCUGUAUGGGGCUCUGUGCUCGGGAGGAGUCUGCUUGAGAUUCUCUCCCUCUCCCUUUGCCCCUCCUCUGCCCCAGCUUGUACACAGUCUCUCAC